rnacentral:rRNA from 1 species
UACGGAGGAUGCGAGCGUUAUCCGGAUUUAUUGGGUUUAAAGGGUGCGUAGGCGGACGCUUAAGUCAGCGGUAAAAUUGCGGGGCUCAACCUCGUCGAGCCGUUGAAACUGGGUGCCUUGAGUGGGCGAAAAGUACGCGGAAUGCGUGGUGUAGCGGUGAAAUGCAUAGAUAUCACGCAGAACUCCGAUUGCGAAGGCAGCGUACCGGCGCCCAACUGACGCUGAAGCACGAAGGCGUGGGUAUCGAACAGG